GGAAAAACGCAAGAGACGUGCCUAACACAUGCAAAUUUAAUGGUUAAUAAAUUAACUAUAGUGAAUUGGUGAGUAAAAUAUGAAAAUUUAAUUUUAGAUUGGAAGUAUUUCUAAUAACUUAGAAGUAAUCUCUGAUAAGUGCAUAUAUGUUGCUUUUAAAAAGUUAAUACUGUCUAAAAAAAAGUUCAUAUCUGAUUAGCUAGUUAGUAAUAUAAAAAUUUACUAAGGCGAAGAUCAGUAGCUGCCCUGAGAGGGGGACCAGCCACAUUGGGAUUGAAAUACAGCCCAAACUCCUACGGGAGGCUGCAGUGGGGAAUCUUCUGCAAUGAGCGCAAGCUUGACAGAGCGUCGUCACGUGAAGGAAGACAGCUUAUUUUUUAGUUGUAAACUUCUUUUACUUAAAAGUGAAUAUUGACACUUAAGUAAAUAAAGUAUCGGCAAACUCCGUGCCAGCAGCCGCGGUAAAACGGGGGAUACAAGCGUUAUCCG